AUUGAACGCUGGCGGCAGGCCUAACACAUGCAAGUCGAGCGCGAAAGCACUUCGGUGUGAGUAGAGCGGCGGACGGGUGAGUAACGCGUAAGAAUCUACCUAGUAGUGGGGGACAACUCGAGGAAACUCGAGCUAAUACCGCAUACGCCCUACGGGGGAAAGCGGGGGACCUUCGGGCCUCGCGCUAUUAGAUGAGCUUGCGUUGGAUUAGCUUGUUGGUGAGGUAAUGGCUCACCAAGGCUACGAUCCAUAGCUGGUCUGAGAGGAUGAUCAGCCACACCGGGACUGAGACACGGCCCGGACUCCUACGGGAGGCAGCAGUGGGGAAUAUUGCGCAAUGGGCGAAAGCCUGACGCAGCCAUGCCGCGUGUGUGAAGAAGGCCUUAGGGUUGUAAAGCACUUUCAAUUGGGAGGAAAAGUUAACGACUAAUACUCGUUAGCCUUGACGUUACCUUUAGAAGAAGCACCGGCUAACUCCGUGCCAGCAGCCGCGGUAAUACGGAGGGUGCAAGCGUUAAUCGGAAUUACUGGGCGUAAAGCGCGCGUAGGCGGCUUUUUAAGUCGGAUGUGAAAGCCCCGGGCUCAACCUGGGAACUGCAUCCGAUACUGGAAGACUAGAGUGCGAGAGAGGGAGGUAGAAUUCCAUGUGUAGCGGUGAAAUGCGUAGAUAUAUGGAGGAAUACCAGUGGCGAAGGCGGCCUCCUGGCUCGACACUGACGCUGA
rnacentral:rRNA from 1 species